rnacentral:rRNA from 1 species
GACGAACGCUGGCGGCGUGCUUAACACAUGCAAGUCGAACGGAAAGGCCCUGCUUUUGUGGGGUGCUCGAGUGGCGAACGGGUGAGUAACACGUGAGUAACCUGCCCUUGACUUUGGGAUAACUUCAGGAAACUGGGGCUAAUACCGGAUAGGAUCUCCUGCUGCAUGGUGGGGGUUGGAAAGUUUCGGCGGUUGGGGAUGGACUCGCGGUGGAUUAGCUUGUUGGUAGGGUAGUGGCUUACCAAGGCUUUGACGGGUAGCUGGCCGGGGAGGAUGACCAGCUAGGAUGGAGAUGAGGCACAGACCACACUCCGACGGAAGGGAGGGGAAGGGAAUAUAGGGGGAGGGACGAAGGCCUGACCAAGCCAGGCGGCGGGAGUGAUGAUGGGCGUAGGGAUCUAAAGCUGUUUUACCCGGGAUGUUAGUGACGGUAACGGGUAAAUAAGCUCCGGCUAACUCCGUG